CAGCCGUACCUGCGGGUAAUCAGCCUUUUGGGCAUGAUUCUGUGGAGCGUGAGGAGUUAAACGCCUUCAUGCCUGCAUAUUCGUGUACUUUUGGGUGUACUUGCCUGUGUGGUUAGUUAACAUCAAUUUUGGUAUCAUAAAUGGUUGGAGGAAUGUAGCUUCGAUCUCGUAUUGAAGUGUUAUAGCCUUUGGUAGAUGUGAUUAGUCGGGAUUGGAGG
rnacentral:rRNA from 1 species